rnacentral:rRNA from 1 species
UGGGGAAUAUUGGACAAUGGGCGAAAGCCUGAUCCAGCCAUGCCGCGUGUGUGAAGAAGGUCUUCGGAUUGUAAAGCACUUUAAGUUGGGAGGAAGGGCAGUAAGCGAAUACCUUGCUGUUUUGACGUUACCGACAGAAUAAGCACCGGCUAACUCUGUGCCAGCAGCCGCGGUAAUACAGAGGGUGCAAGCGUUAAUCGGAAUUACUGGGCGUAAAGCGCGCGUAGGUGGUUCGUUAGGUGGAAUGUGAAAGCCCCGGGCUCAACCUGGGAACUGCAUCCAAAAGAGGGGAGCUAGAGUAGGGCAGAGGGUGGUGGAAUUUCCUGUGUGGCGGUGAAAUGCGUAGAUAUAGGAAGGAACACCAGUGGCGAAGGCGACCACCUGGGCUCAUACUGACACUGGGGUGCGAAAGCGUGGGGAGCAAACAGG